AAAAGAGAGCUUGAUUGCAAGACAUACAGGUCGAGCAAGGAUGAAAAUCGGACUUAGUGAUCCGGUGGUUCUGCGUGGAAGGGCCAUCGCUCAACGGAUAAAAGCUACCCUGGGGAUAACAGGCUUAUCCCCCCCAAGAGUCCACAUCGACGGGGAGGUUUGGCACCUCGAUGUCGGCUCAUCACAUCCUGGGGCUGUAGUAGGUCCCAAGGGUUGGGCUGUUCGCCCAUUAAAGUGGUACGCGAGCUGGGUUCAGAACGUCGUGAGACAGUUCGGUCCCUAUCCGUCGCAGGCGUAGGAAAUUUGAGAAGACCUGUCCUUAGUACGAGAGGACCGGGAUGGACGUACCUCUGGUGUACCAGUUGU
rnacentral:rRNA from 1 species